AAGACACAGGUAAGACUGUUCAGUGAAUCACAGAGAUUUAAAAAAAAUGGAGUGAUAGUGCCUCUAAAUAUCCAUCAACACCAGGAACAGUCGAAACUAACACAAGUCAGCAGGAAAAAAGAGAACCUGGGCUCAGCAGCAUUCUUAGAAUCCCAGCAACUCGGGAGGCUGAAGCCAGAGGAUCUCUGGCACCUGGGAGUUUGGAGCCAGCCUAGAAGGCAGAAAUGAGAAGGCCCACUUCUUAAGAAAGGAGGGAGGAGUAGAGAGGAAUGGACUAUAGAAACAGGGUUUGCUGAUCAGCACACAAAUGGAGACGUUCUGAAAACAAGGCAGCAGUAAUACCAAAGGCCAAGACAGUAAUUACUUCUGGAGACAAGAGACUGUGGGUUUGUGGGAGGGUCCUGUUAAGUCAUUCAACCAUAUUCACUUUUAAAGUGACAAGCAAGUGUGGCAAAGGUGUAGAAUCCUAUGCAGCGAGGUGCCCACCCCACCUUUCCUACUGUCUUCUGGGUAUUCCGAGCACUUUAAGGUGUUCGUGAGGUUGCUCUUCCCCAGCUGGGUCGAGGAGGAGUCAGUGUCUACGCAGUCAUUCAGCUUGCCUCCUCUGCUGCGCACACAGGCACCCUUCCAGCUUCUAAACGGAACGGUAACAUGGUUCCUGCUCAGCACCUCUCAGGUUGGGCUGCCGUUCCUCUGUACUCUGCUUACAGUAUCUUGUCUGCGAGGAAACUGAGGCUUAGAGAAAAUCUGCACUGAGUUAUCUCAAUGAGCGAAUUGCUGCGUUUUAUAAAAAUGAAAGAGCCAGGAAUAUAUUUGGUAGAGGGCGGUAUGGGGAGAGAAGGUAACACACGUGUGCAGAUAUGCAUGUGUAGAGGCCAUUGCUAAUGUUCCUGCCUGCUGGAUACUUUAUUAGUUCAUUUUUAGACAGCCUCAUACUGCUCUGAAACUCACCAAGGUUGUGGGCACUUGGGAUCUGAUCUCAGGUCUUUGCGCUCAAGCAGCAGGCAGUUUAUGAACCACCCGAGCCCUCCACAGCCCCCAGUGAAACCUAGUUUAACAUUCAUCUCCUUCAGUGUAUAUUAUUGCAUUCAUUUAGUAUGACUGUAAUAAUAAAGACUAUGCUAGAACCUUGUUCUAAAUUAAAAUCUAGAGCUGAUGAGGACAGCAGUACCAGAUGCUAGGGGAAGUCCAAAAAGGUAAACAACAACAACAACUUCCAGGGAAUCACAGUGGGAACUGCCUUUAAAUGCUGGCACAUCUGUCACUGGAACACUAUCCAGUAGUGAAAUGGAUCCGGUCAGUUUUGUAGAUGUGGAGACUUACUUAUGGAUUAACAUAACAAAAUGUCUUGGUCCUCUGUGUUCUUUUCUUCUCCAGGACAUGAAGAGUUCUUAAGUCUUUAAAUAGCAAUCGACCCCACUUCAAGACGGUGAAAGCAGAAUUCCUCAACACUGGAAAGAGAGGGCCGCACACUGCCUUCAUUUCCAACUCACUGCACGCACAGGCAGCUAAAAAUGUAAUAAAAAGAAAGUAACCACAAAGAGAAGUCAAAAGGGCAUACAAGGAUAUCUGGCUAUAUGGAUAGCCUCAUGUGAUCCUGGAGAUGGGGGCAGGGACUGGGAAGUUCUUCAGAAGCUUGUGAGCCAGCCAGCAUGCCCAGCAGUGAACAACAGAAGAUGCAAUUUCAAACAAGGUAGGUGUGAAGUUAUCCUCUGGCCUCUUGUGCAUUCUCUCACUCACACAUGAGUAUAUACCAGCAUACAGACACAGACAGACAGACACACACACACACACAGAGACACAAAGACACAUAGAGACAUACUCACAGAGACACAUAAUAGACACACACAGAACACACAAUAGAGACAGACAGACAGACACAGAACAUGGACAGAUGUGGACAGUGGCAGGCAGGGCAGACCCAGCACUACACUGAGAACCAGGUCUGAACAGCAACCCUCUAGAGAAUGUCUCUACCUACAGGAUCUUCCUGGGUCAAGUCCCCAAGCUUUCUGCAAACAAGGCUCCUCUCUAAAGUGUCUGCCUUACUCAGCGUCUGCACACAUCUGCAGUCCCUGUUAUUCAAAGAGAACAGCUUAAGCCAACGAGUUGAAGACCAGCUGAGUAGACACAGCCUGACCAUGUCUCAAAAAUGGGACUAGUCUCCCCUUGACCUUCCAGGACUCUGGUGAGCCACUGUCUCCAUGGCCUCUGCUUCUGGAUAUAUCACAGGCAGCCCCCAAGCAGCGCAUACAAACCAAGCCCUGGAUGUUGGCUUCACUCCCACGCCUGCUCCCAGCCCUCCCUGCCAGACCCCUGGAGGUGGUUCUGGCCCGUGUCCUCUGCCACAACGGAUGACAGUCUGCAUCCCACUAUCACUAUUUGAAAACAAAUCAUUUUGUUCCCCUAAAGAUUACAAAAUCCCUGAGAACAAGAGUCUCCUCCCCCAAAGGCCUUGGUGAUGAUCACAGCCUAGCACUUAAGUAGUACCGGGAGCACAGUUACUUCCCAAAAGAGUUUUGAGCUGAUUAAUAAAGGAAUGGUUCCAAGAAAUACACUCAAUAACCAGCUAAUUCCGCCAUCUUCAUCUAUAAAGCAGAAGGGUAAUGCCUCCCCAACACAGUGAUCAUGAGGGUCUGUUCAUUCCUAACAAGGUGCUAUCUGUACAGUGCAGGGCUGGCUGAAGACACUUAGCAGACAGUGCCUACCUUCUAAAGGUAGUUCCCAUACAAAGGACGCAAGCGCAGGCUAGACUGAAUUAUGCACAGCUCCUGUGUGCUGUCUCCUCCUUGGAGCUUGGAGAAGAGCUGGAGAGAGACUAGAGAAGAAAAAUACAUGUGUUCUUCUAGUUCCUUCACUGGGGACCACUGAGGCACAAGAUGUACACGCUUGAGGGAAUAUUUCUGCAUGCUCACACGCUGGCUGGCAGAACUUGGGGAAGGUGAUAGACAUUGACAUUACGAUAUCUCCCCAUUACAGUACACUCCUAGGUCUGCAGAUAUCUGGGUAGAACCUAGGAUUCCAUGUUUGGAAGAUAACUUACACCCUAACCCUGACAGCACACUACUUUACUGAAA
rnacentral:lncRNA from 1 species